rnacentral:rRNA from 1 species
GUGCCAGCAGCCGCGGUAAUACCGGCAGCCCGAGUGAUGGCCAAUUUUAUUGGGCCUAAAGCGUCCGUAGCCGGCCACACAAGUCCAUCGGGAAAUCCGCCAGCCUAACUGGCGGGCGUCCGGUGGAACCUGUGUGGCUUGGGACCGGAAGACCCAACGGGUACGUCUUGGGUAGGAGUGAAAUCCUGUAAUCCUGGACGGACCACCGAUAGCGAAAGCACGUUGGGAAGACGGAUCCGACGGUGAGGGACGAAAGCCAGGGUCUCGAACCGGAUUAGAUACCCUGGUAGUCC